rnacentral:rRNA from 1 species
AACACAUGCAAGUCGAACGAUGAACCACUUCGGUGGGGAUUAGUGGCGAACGGGUGAGUAACACGUGGGCAAUCUGCCCUGCACUCUGGGACAAGCCCUGGAAACGGGGUCUAAUACCGGAUACUGAUCCUCGCAGGCAUCUGCGAGGUUCGAAAGCUCCGGCGGUGCAGGAUGAGCCCGCGGCCUAUCAGCUAGUUGGUGAGGUAACGGCUCACCAAGGCGACGACGGGUAGCCGGCCUGAGAGGGCGACCGGCCACACUGGGACUGAGACACGGCCCAGACUCCAACGGGAGGCAGCAGUGGGGAAUAUUGCACAAUGGGCGAAAGCCUGAUGCAGCGACGCCGCGUGAGGGAUGACGGCCUUCGGGUUGUAAACCUCUUUCAGCAGGGAAGAAGCGAAAGUGACGGUACCUGCAGAAGAAGCGCCGGCUAACUACGUGCCCAGCCGCGGUAAUACGUAGGGCGCAAGCGUUGUCCGGAAUUAUUGGGCGUAAAGAGCUCGUAGGCGGCUUGUCACGUCGGUUGUGAAAGCCCGGGGCUUAACCCCGGGUCUGCAGUCGAUACGGGCAGGCUAGAGUUCGGUAGGGGAGAUGCAAUUCCUGGUGUAGCGGUGAAAUGCGCAGAUACAGGAGGAACACCGGUGGCGAAGGCGGAUCUCUGGGCCGAUACUGACGCUGAGGAGCGAAAGCGUGGGGAGCGAACAGGAUUAGAUACCCUGGUAGUCCACGCCGUAAACGGUGGGCACUAGGUGUGGGCAACAUUCCACGUUGUCCGUGCCGCAGCUAACGCAUUAAGUGCCCCGCCUGGGGAGUACGGCCGCAAGGCUAAAACUCAAAGGAAUUGACGGGGGCCCGCACAAGCGGCGGAGCAUGUGGCUUAAUUCGACGCAACGCGAAGAACCUUACCAAGGCUUGACAUACACCGGAAAACCCUGGAGACAGGGUCCCCCUUGUGGUCGGUGUACAGGUGGUGCAUGGCUGUCGUCAGCUCGUGUCGUGAGAUGUUGGGUUAAGUCCCGCAACGAGCGCAACCCUUGUCCCGUGUUGCCAGCAGGCCCUUGUGGUGCUGGGGACUCUCGGGAGACCGCCGGGGUCAACUCGGAGGAAGGUGGGGACGACGUCAAGUCAUCAUGCCCCUUAUGUCUUGGGCUGCACACGUGCUACAAUGGCCGGUACAAUGAGCUGCGAUACCGCGAGGUGGAGCGAAUCUCAAAAAGCCGGUCUCAGUUCGGAUUGGGGUCUGAACUCGACCCCAUGAAGUCGGAGUCGCUAGUAAUCGCAGAUCAGCAUUGCUGCGGUGAAUACGUUCCCGGGCCUUGUACACACCGCCCGUCACGUCACGAAAGUCGGUAACACCCGAAGCCGGUGGCCCAACCCCUUGUGGGAGGGAGC